AAAUUGAAGAGUUUGAUCAUGGCUCAGAUUGAACGCUGGCGGCAGGCCUAACACAUGCAAGUCGAACGGUAACAGGAAGCAGCUUGCUGCUUUGCUGACGAGUGGCGGACGGGUGAGUAAUGUCUGGGAAACUGCCUGAUGGAGGGGGAUAACUACUGGAAACGGUAGCUAAUACCGCAUAACGUCGCAAGACCAAAGAGGGGGACCUUCGGGCCUCUUGCCA
rnacentral:rRNA from 1 species